AGUGAACGCUGGCGGUAGGCCUAACACAUGCAAGUCGAACGGCAGCACAGUAAGAGCUUGCUCUUACGGGUGGCGAGUGGCGGACGGGUGAGGAAUACAUCGGAAUCUACUUUUUCGUGGGGGAUAACGUAGGGAAACUUGCGCUAAUACCGCAUACGACCUACGGGUGAAAGCAGGGGAUCUUCGGACCUUGCGCGAUUGAAUGAGCCGAUGUCGGAUUAGCUAGUUGGCGGGGUAAAGGGCCACCAAGGCGACGAUCCGUAGCUGGUCUGAGAGGAUGAUCCGGCACCCUGGAAGUGAGACACGGUCCAGACUCCUACGGGGGGCAGCAGUGGGGAAUAUUGGGCGAUGGGCGCGAGCCUGAUCCAGCCCUACCGCGUGGGUGAUGAAGGCCUUCGGGUUGUAGAGCCCUUUUGUUGGGAAAGAAGAGCAGCAGGUUAAUCGCCCGCUGUUCUGACGGUACCCAAAGAAUAAGCACCGGCUAACUUCGUG
rnacentral:rRNA from 1 species